UUUUUCGUUUUCCAGACACGUUGCACAGACCGAUGCGCUUGGAUGAAACACGCGCUCAGGUUUCCUGCUGCCCUUUUUCUCCGUGAUGCGGGCAAGAGAUCGAAGACGUCGCCUCGUUUUCACAUUUUACACAAAUUUGGAGAGACGAGCAGUUUAUUGUUUGACGCCGCGUUUCGCACACUCUUCAUCAUCAUGCCAAAGUCGUUAGAUUUCCCUUAACGAUACAAUAAUAUCGCAGCAUUGUGUAGAGAAGAGGAAGAAAAAGAAGGCCCAGCAGCGAGACUGGGAAGUUACGACUAUGGAAGCGAGUGAGGUCGUUUGCGCUGCCUAAACGAUGAUGGAUCUUUUCUUGGAGCGGAGGAGAAAAUGGGCGAGGCGGAUGUGUGAAAGGCGCUUCAUCUUUGAAUAAACACAGAUAUGUUGUACUACUACCCUCGCACUAUCCCUGUGCUCAUCAGAAAUAAAACAAAAC